GGGUGAUUAGCUCAGUUGGGAGAGCAUCGCCCUUACAAGGCGAGGGUCACUGGUUCAAGCCCAGUAUCACCCACCA
rnacentral:tRNA from 1 species